rnacentral:rRNA from 1 species
UGGGGAAUAUUGGACAAUGGGGGCAACCCUGAUCCAGCCAUGCCGCGUGAGUGAUGAAGGCCUUAGGGUUGUAAAGCUCUUUUACCUGGGAAGAUAAUGACGGUACCCUAAGAAUAAGGUCCGGCUAACUUCGUG